CACCAGCGCCACGAGUGGUAACCGCGAUUAUUGGGCCUAAAGCGUCCGUAGCCGGCCUUGUAAAUCCUUUGUGAAAUUGUACGGCUUAACCGUACAACGUGCAAGGGACACCGCAAGGCUCGAGACCGGGAGGAGUCAGAAGUAUUCCAGGGGGAGCGGUAAAAUGUUAUAAUCCCUGGAGGACUACCUGUGGCGAAGGCGUCUGACCAGAACGGAUCUGACGGUGAGGGACGAAAGCUAGGGGAGCGAACCGG
rnacentral:rRNA from 1 species